UUUAAAGAGUGAAUUUAAUAAGAAAGUAAACACCAUAAGUCAAAGUUAGCCCUAGUGCUCCUCUUUCACUCAUCUCUACAAAUUAGUUCUAGCAGCAAUCUGAUGGAAUUUUUAAAAAAAUGAUGUGCAAGUCCGUCAAUGGGCCAUUAACAUAUGAUGUAGGUAAAAUAGAUCAGCAUGCAGCACACAGAGAUGUGCUCACCACCAUCUAGCUUUGGGAAGGUCUACACUAAAAGUGGUGCAGUGGCAGUGCUACAGUGGCAUUAUAGACACUAUUCUGAUUAAAGGGGGUUUUCUGCUGCUGCAGUAAAUCCACCCCCUUGACAGGUGGUAGUUAUUGAUAGAAGUCUUCUGUUGACCUAGCUGCAUCUACAGUAGGGAUUAGGUUGCAUAGGCCGUGAUAUUUUUCACAUACUUUAGCAAUGUUUCUAGGUGGGCAUAAUUUUUAGGUGCAGUCUACUCCUUACUAUAAUUCAUUCAGUAUCACUCUCACAAUUCAGUGGGUCUAAAAUCAUGCUCUGUGGACCUGUUGCUGUCAAGACAGUAAAGUAUCUUCAGGUCAUGAUGGUAUGUAUUAAUUGUAGCCAAUCAGUAGUCUUUUAGGGUUGGUUUUUUUUUUUUGAUGAGCUAAACUGAAAAAAAAUAAGGCUUUCUCUGCACCUUGCAUGCCUGCUUUCUUGUUUUUCUUUAUCAGCUCUCUUUUUGGUAUGAAUUCAGUUGUGAACAAAUAACAUCAAAAUUGGAGGAAUGGCCAACACCCAAAAGGAUGGAAUUGAGCAGCAAAGUGACCUGGAGGGAGCAGGGAAUGCAGGUAGCAGUAACUGAUUUGGAACUAAUAAAUGUUCAGUUCUACCUGCAGGGUGGGGAAAUAAACAGCAUAGCCCUCAGAUGGGGAGGUGUAGUCAAGCAGACACAGGAACUGCAGUAAAGUCAGUUUACUUUAUUGUCUCUUACUGCUGUCCUAAUGUUAUAUUUAUCUGAAAACAAGCCUCUUACAGUAAUUGCCAGAUGGAAAGCUAUGCGGUAACAUUGCCUCAUCAAGCCCUACUCAGACUGGAUGUGUGUGGAUAUGCAAAAUGGGACAGAAAACUAUUUGGAUGAAGAAUCGAUAUUAACAAGGGAAAAGGAACAGCUUAAAGAAUGGUUAAGUCCCAUGUAUUCAGGCUGGCAGAGCCUGAUGAAAUUCAUCCUGGAGAACUGAAGGAAGUAGCUGAAGCAACCUCAGAACUGUGAAAAUGAUUCUUGGAUCUCAUCUGCACCCCUUCUUGGCAAAGUCAGUCUACAUGGUGCAUCUAAACAGCACAACCCCCUCAUGAAUCUGAGACACCCCAACUUUAGUUGUCUGUGGAAGUUUGUAGAUUCAGCAGUGAUUAUUGCUGAGGAAGACAGCAGGACAGGAGGAGGAUCAAGUGACAUGCAACCUCUGAAAUUUUUUGUGUACAGUAUUACAUAUGUAUUGUAUAUCUUUAUGCACUGGAGUCUUUUAUUGUAUAAAUUGCAUUCUUGUCAUAGGGGGUAAAUUAUUUUCCACACUAAGAUGUGUGUAACACUGUACGCAGCUAAAAAGUAUGUGAGUGCAACAAACAAUGCUAUAAAAAUAUCAUGAGU